rnacentral:rRNA from 1 species
GAUGGAACGCUAGCGAUAGGCUUACACAUGCAAGUCGAGGGGCAGCACGAUUUUUAGCUUGCUAAGAUUGGUGGCGACCGGCGCACGGGUGCGUAAACGCGUAUGCAACUUACCUUAUAGAGGGGGAUAGCCCGUUUAACGACGGAUUAAUACCGCAUAUACAAGUAGUUCGGCAUCGAGUAAACUUUGGAAAUGAAUUUCGCUAUAAGAUAGGCAUGCGUCCCAUUAGCUAGUUGGUGAGGUAACGGCUCACCAAGGCGACGAUGGGUAGGGGAACUGAGAGGUUGAUCCCCCACACUGGUACUGAGACACGGACCAGACUCCUACGGGAGGCAGCAGUGAGGAGUAUUGGUCAAUGGACGCAAGUCUGAACCAGCCAAAUCGCGUGAAGGAUGACUGUCUUAUGGAUUGUAAACUUCUUUUAUACGGGAAUAAUCAUAGAUACGUGUAUCUAUUUGAAUGUACCGUACGAAUAAGCAUCGGCUAACUCCGUGCCAGCAGCCGCGGUAAUACGGAGGAUGCGAGCGUUAUCCGGAUUUAUUGGGUUUAAAGGGUGCGUAGGUGGUCUGAUAAGUCAGCGGUGAAAUUUCUGAGCUCAACUCAGACACUGCCGUUGAAACUGUUAGACUUGAGUGUAGAUGAGGUAGGCGGAAUGCGUGGUGUAGCGGUGAAAUGCAUAGAUAUCACGCAGAACUCCGAUUGCGAAGGCAGCUUACUAAGGUACAACUGGCACUGAAGCACGAAAGCGUGGGUAUCAAACAGG